CCCGCUGAACUUAAGCAUAUCAAUAAGCGGAGGAAAAGAAACUAACAAGGAUUCCCCUAGUAACUGCGAGUGAACCGGGAAAAGCUCAAAUUUUGAAUCUGGCGGUCUUCAGGCCGUCCGAGUUGUAAUCUAGAGAGGUGCUUUCCGCGCUGGACCGUGUACAAGUCUCUUGGAAUAGAGCAUCAUAGAGGGUGAGAAUCCCGUCUUUGACACGGACUGCCAGGGCUAUGUGAUGCGCUCUCGACGAGUCGAGUUGUUUGGGAAUGCAGCUCAAAUAGGGUGGUAAAUUCCAUCUAAAGCUAAAUACAGGCGAGAGACCGAUAGCGAACAAGUACCGUGAGGGAAAGAUGAAAAGAACUUUGGAAAGAGAGUUAAACAGUACGUGAAAUUGCUGAAAGGGAAACGCUUGAUGUCAGUCGCGUCGUCCGGGGAUCAGCCUUGCUCUUUUGCUCGGUGUAUUUCCUGGUCGACGGGUCAGCAUCGGUUUUGACCGUCGGAAAAUGGCUCGAGGAAUGCGGCACCCUUCGGGGUGUGUUAUAGACUCGGGUCGAAUACGGCGAUUGGGACCGAGGAACUCAGCACGACCUUAGGGUUCGGGGCUUCGGCCCACGUUAACGUGCUUAGGAUGCUGGCAUAAUGGCCUUAAGCGACCCGUCUUGAAACACGG
rnacentral:rRNA from 1 species